AUUGAACGCUGGCGGCAGGCCUAACACAUGCAAGUCGAGCGGAGCGGCGGACGGGUGAGUAUUGCCUGGGAAUCUGCCUGGUCGUGGGGGAUAACGUUCGGAACCGGGCGCUAAUACCGCAUACUAUCAGAUGAGCCUAGGUCGGAUUCGCUAGUUGGAGGGGUAACGGGUCACCUAGGCGACGAUCCCUAGCUGGUCUGAGAGGAUGACCAGCCACACGGGAACUGAGACACGGUCCAGACUCCUACGGGAGGCAGCGUUGGGGAAUAUUGCACAAUGGGCGCAAGCCUGAUGCAGCCAUGCCGCGUGUAUGAAGAGGGCCUUCGGGUUGUAGAGUACUUUCAGCAAGGAGGCGUGACGCGCAGAAGAAGCACCGGCUAACUCCGUGCCAGCAGCCGCGGUAAUAC
rnacentral:rRNA from 1 species